rnacentral:rRNA from 1 species
AUUGAACGCUGGCGGCAUGCCUUACACAUGCAAGUCGAACGGCAGCACGGGUUCUUGCUCCUGGUGGCGAGUGGCGAACGGGUGAGUAAUACAUCGGAACAUGUCCUGUAGUGGGGGAUAGCCCGGCGAAAGCCGGAUUAAUACCGCAUACGAUCUACGGUCGAAAGCGGGGGACCUUCGGGCCUCGCGCUAUAGGGUUGGCCGAUGGCUGAUUAGCUAGUUGGGGGGGUAAAGGCCUACCAAGGCGACGAUCAGUAGCUGGUCUGAGAGGACGACCAGCCACACUGGAACUGAGACACGGCCCAGACUCCUACGGGAGGCAGCAGUGGGGAAUUUUGGACAAUGGGCGAAAGCCUGAUCCAGCAAUGCCGCGUGUGUGAAGAAGGCCUUCGGGUUGUAAAGCACUUUUGUCCGGAAAGAAAUCCUUGGCCCUAAUACGGUCGGGGGAUGACGGUACCGGAAGAAUAAGCACCGGCUAACUACGUG